rnacentral:lncRNA from 1 species
CCCAUACAGCUGAGUCUGAGGAGGUCCACCUGGGCUAGUGCUGGUCAGCCCACCUAGUUCCAUGCUCCUCGGAGGAGGCUGGGCUCCAGAAGCCCACGUCCGUCUGAUCUAAGGCGGUGGCCCAUCGCUGGAACCAAGGAAUGAGAAACCUAUUCUGAUUAGGUUACUUGUUCCCCAAGAACUACGUCUGGCUUGAUCCCUAUAAAUAGGGUACGUAGGCACAUUGUUUGGGGGGAGGUCGCAACCCUUGCAAGAGCGAAUACUCCUUCGAUCUUGUGAGAAAACCCUAAUCCCCCAAACGAUCUCAGCCAAAACCAAAAUCACCACCCAUACUCCGUCGUCCGCCGUCAUCGUCCACCACAAGUUCCAGCAACCCUCCCCGAAUCUUGUUAUCACCAGAUUCCUCCGUUAACAAUUGGCGCUAGAAGGAGGGGCUUUUUGACAUCUAUUGGAGGAAGGAUGUCACAUGAGACGA